UACGUAGGUGGCGAGCGUUGUCCGGAUUUACUGGGCGUAAAGAGCGCGCAGGCGGCUGGUCAAGUCCGAUGUGAAAGCUCCCGGCUUAACUGGGAAAUUGCAUCGGAAACUGAUCGGCUGGAAGGUGGGAGAGGGUAGCGGAAUUCCCGGUGUAGUGGUGAAAUGCGUGGAUAUCGGGAGGAACACCAGCGGCGAAAGCGGCUACCUGGCCCAUUCUUGACGCUGAGGCGCGAAAGCUAGGGGAGCAAACGGG
rnacentral:rRNA from 1 species